AAGACAAUGACGUAUCUGAUGGCACUGAGAUUUAGUCAUGAGUUUUAUUUGGAAAUGCUUUUGAAAGCUUUACUUGCCCUGUCUCAAUUCGCUCAUCUUACUGCACGUCUGGUUCUGAAGCAUGUAUCAAUUUGUGUGUCUUUGAUAAGUGCAAUUUUACUACAAUUGACACAGAUCGUUCUCUCACUGAUUUACAGCGUGAAGAACACCAUGCAGGGUUCUGCUCCUCCUUCCAAGCUUCCACCAUGGCCUAAGCCCAAGGCUGGUGGAAAUGUGAGAACCCAGGGCUUGGAGAAGAGCUGUCAGGUUGCCAUUCAGAUGAGCAGCUGCUUUGACAGACAGCAAAGGGAAUACCUCAUAUGGGAGAGAGAGUAGUGUCAUCCUCUCUAACCCCAAAGGGAAAUGCUGUGGACUGAUGUGCUGUGUGAAGCAGACCUGGCUGCCAUUCAGAACUAUCAACGAUGAGAAGAGCAAAUUCAGGAAACUGUGGGCUAAAGAAAGCACAGGCUGAAUCACUAGUAUGAAGGAGAUCAAUCUGCUCAUUUUAUCCUCCCUGGGAACACUCUCCCGGUCACACUUUCCAGCAUCCUGCACUUAGGUGGGCAGGAAGAUUAGCCCCGGGUAAUGAAAUGUGAGCUGAGGUAAUGGGCAUUACUCCCAGGCUGAAGCAGUGUAAAAACCUGGUGAUUCUCUGCUCUCUCUGCCCCUGGCCUAAUGACCAAGGAGGGCUUGUGUUAAGCCAGCUCCCAGGGCAGCUUGGAUCUCUGAGUCACUACGUGGACUGCAGCUGCCUGCACCCCUCAUUGGAU
rnacentral:lncRNA from 1 species